rnacentral:rRNA from 1 species
UCGGGAAUUUUGGGCAAUGGGCGAAAGCCUGACCCAGCAACGCCGCGUGAAGGAUGAAGUAUUUCGGUAUGUAAACUUCGAAAGAAUGGGAAGAAUCAAUGACGGUACCAUUUAUAAGCUCCGGCUAACUACGUGCCAGCAGCCGCGGUAAUACGUAGGGAGCAAGCGUUGUUCGGAUUUACUGGGCGUAAAGGGCGCGUAGGCGGCCUGUCAAGUCAACUGUGAAAUCUCCGGGCUUAACUCGGAACGGUCAGUUGAUACUGUCAGGCUAGAGUGCAGAAGGGGCAAUCGGAAUUCUUGGUGUAGCGGUGAAAUGCGUAGAUAUCAAGAGGAACACCUGAGGUGAAGACGGGUUGCUGGGCUGACACUAACGCUGAGGCGCGAAAGCCAGGGGAGCAAACGGGAUUAGAUACCCCGGUAGUCCUGGCCCUAAACGAUGAAUACUUGGUGUCUGGAGUUAUUAUCGCUCCGGGUGCCGUCGCUAACGUUUAAGUAUUCCGCCUGGGGAGUACGC